GAUGAACGCUGGCGGCGUGCCUAAUACAUGCAAGUCGAGCGAACGGACGAGAAGCUUGCUUCUCUGAUGUUAGCGGCGGACGGGUGAGUAACACGUGGAUAACCUACCUAUAAGACUGGGAUAACUUCGGGAAACCGUAGCUAAUACCGGAUAAUAUUUUGAACCGCAUGGUUCAAAAGUGAAAGACGGUCUUGCUGUCACUUAUAGAUGGAUCCGCGCUGCAUUAGCUAGUUGGUAAGGUAACGGCUUACCAAGGCAACGAUGCAUAGCCGACCUGAGAGGGGGAUCGGCCACACUGGAACUGAGACACGGUCCAGACUCCUACGGGAGGCAGCAGUAGGGAAUCUUCCGCAAUGGGCGAAAGCCUGACGGAGCAACGCCGCGUGAGUGAUGAAGGUCUUCGGAUCGUAAAACUCUGUUAUUAGGGAAGAACAUAUGUGUAAGUAACUGUGCACAUCUUGACGGUACCUAAUCAGAAAGCCACGGCUAACUACGU
rnacentral:rRNA from 1 species